rnacentral:ncRNA from 1 species
GUUGGUUACAGGGUCUGGAUGUAUCGUCCUUCUCUCUGAAGUGUCUGCCAGGGGCGCAAUGCGGCAGCCGGGAUGUCUGUUAGAGAGCGCGUCUCCGCACGGAUGCUGGCAUAAUGGUUGUAAGCGGCCCGUCUUGAACACGGACCAAGGAGUCUAACAUCCACGCGAGUGUUCGGGUGUCAAACCCGUGCGCGCAGUGAAAGCGAACGGAGGUGGGAGCCCAUCAGGGUGCACCAUCGACCGAUCCUGAAGUCUUCGGAUGGAUUUGAGUAAGAGCGUGGCUGUUGGGACCCGAAAGAUGGUGAACUAUGCCUGAAUAGGGUGAAGCCAGAGGAAACUCUGGUGGAGGCUCGCAGCGGUUCUGACGUGCAAAUCGAUCGUCAAAUUUGGGUAUAGGGGCGAAAGACUAAUCGAAUCAUCUGGUAGCUGGUUCCUGGCGAAGUUUCCCUCAGGAUAGCAGUAACGUUUUCAGUUUUAUGAGGUAAAGCGAAUGAUUAGAGGCCUUGGGGUUGAAACAACCUUAACCUAUUCUCAAACUUUAAAUAUGUAAGAAGCCCUUGUUACUUAAGUGAACGUGGGCAUUAGAAUGGAUCGUUACUAGUGGGGCCAUUUUUGGUAAGCAGAACUGGCGAUGCGGGAUGAACCGAACGCGAGGUUAAGGUGCCGGAAUGCACGCUCAUCAGACACCACAAAAGGUGUUAGUUCAUCUAGACAGCCCGACGGUGGCCAUGGAAGUCGGAAUCCGCUAAGGAGUGUGUAACAACUCACGGGCCGAAUGAACUAGCCCUGAAAAUGGAUGGCGCUCAAGCGUGCUACCCAUACCUCGCCGUCGGGGUAGAAACGAUGCCCCGACGAGUAGGCAGGCGUGGAGGUUUGUGACGAAGCCUUGGGAGUGAUCCCGGGUCGAACAGCCUCUAGUGCAGAUCUUGGUGGUAGUAGCAAAUACUCAAAUGAGAACUUUGAGGACUGAAGUGGGGAAAGGUUCCAUGUGAACAGCAGUUGGACAUGGGUUAGUCGAUCCUAAGACAUAGGGUAGUUCCGUUUGAAAGCGCGCCCUCGUGCGCCGUUCGUCGAAAGGGAAGCCGGUUAAUAUUCCGGCACCUGGAUGUGGAUUCUCCACGGCAACGUAACUGAACGCGGAGACGUCGGCAGGAGUCCUGGGAAGAGUUCUCUUUUCUUCUUGACGGCCUAUCACCCUGAAAUCGGUUUGUCCGGAGCUAGGGUUUCAUGGCCGGCAGAGCCCCGCACCUUUGUGGGGUCCGGUGCACUCCUGACGACCCUUGAAAAUCCGCGGGAAGGGAAUAGUUUUCACGCCAGGUCGUACUCAUACCGCAGCAGGUCCUCCAAGGGUGAAAAGCCUUCUAGUUGAUAGAACAAUGUAGAUACGGGAAGGUCGUGCAAAUAUAUUCUGUAACUUCUGGGAAAAGGAUUGGGCUCUUAUGGUUCGGGCCCGUUGGGGCCUUGGGGGGAAAAGCUCUGGAGCAAAAAGGCACUAUGCCGGGUAACCGGCGGGUCCUUUUUAGCAUCGGGGGUGCGGGACGCCCUUGGGCAGGCUUUCGGCGGCUCGGGGCGCGGAUUAACCGACCACACUAGAAAUCUGUGUUCGGGAGAAAGGGGGAAAAUC